UACGGAGGGUGCAAGCGUUGUCCGGAAUCACUGGGCGUAAAGGGCGCGUAGGCGGCUCAUGAAGGCUGUGGUGAAAGUCCGGGGCUCAACCUCGGAUCGGCCGUGGCGACUCGUGGGCUGGAGCACUGUAGAGGCGGGUGGAAUUCCGGGUGUAGCGGUGGAAUGCGUAGAUAUCCGGAGGAAUACCAAAGGCGAAGGCAGUGUCCUGGCUGGCAUCUGACGCUGAGGAGCGAAAGCGUGGGGAGCGAACAGG
rnacentral:rRNA from 1 species